rnacentral:rRNA from 1 species
GGGCCCGCACAAGCGGUGGAGCAUGUGGUUUAAUUCGAAGCAACGCGAAGAACCUUACCUACUCUUGACAUCCUGCGAACUUGGUAGAGAUACCUUGGUGCCUUCGGGAACGCAGAGACAGGUGCUGCAUGGCUGUCGUCAGCUCGUGUUGUGAAAUGUUGGGUUAAGUCCCGUAACGAGCGCAACCCCUUGUCCUUAGUUGCCAGCCUUAAGUUGGGCACUCUAAGGAGACUGCCGUGACAAACCGGAGGAAGGUGGGACGACGUCAAGUCAUCAUGGCCCUUACGUGUAGGGCUACACACGUGCUACAAUGGCAUUUACAGAGGGAAGCGAGACAGUGAUGUGGAGC